rnacentral:rRNA from 1 species
AAAUUGAAGAGUUUGAUCAUGGCUCAGAUUGAACGCUGGCGGCAGGCCUAACACAUGCAAGUCGAACGGUAACACAGAGGAGCUUGCUCCUUGGGUGACGAGUGGCGGACGGGUGAGUAAUGUCUGGGAAACUGCCCGAUGGAGGGGGAUAACUACUGGAAACGGUAGCUAAUACCGCAUAACGUCGCAAGACCAAAGAGGGGGACCUUCGGGCCUCUUGCCAUCGGAUGUGCCCAGAUGGGAUUAGCUAGUAGGUGGGGUAA